rnacentral:rRNA from 1 species
UACAGAGGGUGCGAGCGUUGUCCGGAAUCACUGGGCGUAAAGGGCGCGUAGGUGGCGGGAUAAGCGUGUGGUGAAAGCCCGGGGCUCAACCCCGUGUCUGCCAUGCGGACUGUCUUGCUCGAGCGUAGUAGAGGCAGGUGGAAUUCCGGGUGUAGCGGUGGAAUGCGUAGAGACCCGGAGGAACACCAGUGGCGAAGGCGGCGUCCUGGCCUGCGACUGACGCUGUGGCGCGAAAGCUAGGGGAGCGAACGGG